UCCACUCUCCGCUUUCCGUGUCCAUCUGAACGUACGUAGUCACGUCGUAUACGAAGAUCUUAAUAUAAGAUUAAACAAUUGGUUCGAGUUGUAUGCGAGGAUUUAAAAACAUCAUGUGUAAGAUUAAUUAGACAAAUCUUCAGCAAUGAAUUAACCAUGGAAUACAGCUGGUAUGGAGCGAAAAAGAAAAAUGUCUUCAGCAACUUACAAUUGUGCAAAAUAAUUAUAUGAACUUAAAUGAGAACAGAUAUUUAUUUAAAGAAAACACACUCUCUCUCUCUAAUUACACUGAUUUUUAAAUAUUAUAUUCCAAGUGUGAUAAGAAAGUCGCAUACAACUGCAACAGACGAACAAAUUUCUGCUCCCAUCAAGAUCUAGCUGGCUCAUGCAAAGGAAAAAAAUGUGCAAAUAAACAAAAAAAUAAUUGAGU